AUAUUUGUGUCGGUAUCAGGUUUCAGAAUCGGUCAUCACUGAUUCAGGAUUAAAAUGGGAACUCCUGUGAAAAUCAGGGACUAUCCCCGUAGCUGUAAGUUCUAUUCAAAGGUUGUACAUUCGGAAGCCACUGCCGGUAUGUCCGGUGGGAAGGCGUACAAUCGGAACAAGUCAGAAGACCUGCCUGAGUACUUUUGUUUAA
rnacentral:ncRNA from 2 species